UACACUCCUGCGGGAGGCAGCAGUGGGGAAUUUUGGACAAUGGGCGAAAGCCUGAUCCAGCAAUGCCGCGUGAGUGAAGAAGGCCUUCGGGUUGAAAAGCUCUUUUGUCAGGGAAGAAACGGUGAAAGCUAAUAUCUUUUGCUAAUGACGGUACCUGAAGAAUAAGCACCGGCUAACUACGUGCCAGCAGCCGCGGUAAUACGUAGGGUGCAAGCGUUAAUCGGAAUUACUGGGCGUAAAGCGUGCGCAGGCGGUUUUGUAAGUCUGAUGUGAAAUCCCCGGGCUCAACCUGGGAAUUGCAUUGGAGACUGCAAGGCUAGAAUCUGGCAGAGGGGGGUAGAAUUCCACGUGUAGCAGUGAAAUGCGUAGAUAUGUGGAGGAACACCGAUGGCGAAGGCAGCCCCCUGGGUCAAGAUUGACGCUCAUGCACGAAAGCGUGGGGAGCAAACAGGAUUAGAAACCCCAGUAGUCCCAUG
rnacentral:rRNA from 1 species